rnacentral:rRNA from 1 species
GGUGAACGCUGGCGGCGUGCUUAAGACAUGCAAGUCGAACGGCAGUCUUCGGACUGUAGUGGCGCACGGGUGAGUAACGCGUAACUGACCUACCCCAAAGUCGCGGAUAACGAUUCGAAAGAAUCGCUAAUACGUGAUGUGCUGUCAGAUUGUGUUCUGCCAGUAAAGAUUGAUUGCUUUGGGAUGGGGUUGCGUUCCAUCAGCUAGUGGGUGGGGUAAAGGCCAACCACGGGGACGACGGAUAGCCGGCCUGAGAGGGUGGCCGGCCACAGGGGCACUGAGACACGGGUCCCACUCCUACGGGAGGCAGCAGUUAGGAAUCUUCCACAAUGGGCGAAAGCCUGAGGGAGCGACGCCGCGUGAGGGAUGAAGGUCUUCGGAUCGUAAACCUCUGAAUCAGGGACGAAAGACACUUCGGUGGGAUGACGGUACCUGAGUAAUAGCACCGGCUAACUCCGUGCCAGCCGCCGCAGUAAAAC